UACGUAGGUGGCGAGCGUUGUCCGGAAUUACUGGGCGUAAAGCGCACGCAGGCGGUCUGCUAAGUUUGGAGUGACAGUUGGUGGCUCAACCACCAAAGUGCUUUGAAAACUGACAGACUUGAGGGCUUCAGAGGGACACGGAAUUCCGGGUGGAGUGGUGAAAUGCGUAGAGAUCCGGAGGAACACCAAAGGCGAAGGCAGUGUCCUGGGGAGUACCUGACGCUCAGGUGCGAAAGCCAGGGGAGCGAACGGG
rnacentral:rRNA from 1 species